rnacentral:rRNA from 2 species
UUUAGUGCUGCAGCUAACGCAUUAAGCACUCCGCUGGGGAGUACGGUCGCAAGACUGAAACUCAAAGGAAUUGACGGGGGCCCGCACAAGCGGUGGAGCAUGUGGUUUAAUUCGAAGCAACGCGAAGAACCUUACCAGGUCUUGACAUCCUCUGACAACUCUAGAGAUAGAGCGUUCCCCUUCGGGGGACAGAGUGACAGGUGGUGCAUGGUUGUCGUCAGCUCGUGUCGUGAGAUGUUGGGUUAAGUCCCGCAACGAGCGCAACCCUUGAUCUUAGUUGCCAGCAUUUAGUUGGGCACUCUAAGGUGACUGCCGGUGACAAACCGGAGGAAGGUGGGGAUGACGUCAAAUCAUCAUGCCCCUUAUGACCUGGGCUACACACGUGCUACAAUGGAUGGUACAAAGGGCUGCAAGACCGCGAGGUCAAGCCAAUCCCAUAAAACCAUUCUCAGUUCGGAUUGUAGGCUGCAACUCGCCUACAUGAAGCUGGAAUCGCUAGUAAUCGCGGAUCAGCAUGCCGCGGUGAAUACGUUCCCG